AUGAACGCUGGCGGCGUGCUUAACACAUGCAAGUCGAACGGUAACAGGAGGAAGCUUGCUUUCUUGCUGACGAGUGGCGCACGGGUGAGUAAUAUAUAGGUUACGUGCCUCUUAGACUGGGAUAGCCACUGGAAACGGUGAUUAAUACUGGAUACUCCUGCUUGCAGGGAAAUGCUUUUGCGCUAAGAGAUCGGCCUAUACUGUAUCAGCUUGUUGGUGAGGUAAUGGCUCACCAAGGCGAUGACACAUAGCGGGUUUGAGAGGAUGACCCGCCACACUGGUACUGAGACACGGACCAGACUCCUACGGGAGGCAGCAGUGAGGAAUAUUGCACAAUGGGGGGAACCCUGAUGCAGCAACGCCGCGUGGAGGAUGACGCAUUUCGGUGUGUAAACUCCUUUUAUCAGAGAAGAAAAUGACGGUAUCUGAUGAAUAAGCUCCGGCUAACUCCGUGCCAGCAGCCGCGGUAAUACGGAGGGAGCAAGCGUUAUUCGGAAUCACUGGGCGUAAAGGACGCGUAGGCGGGUUAUUAAGUCUGAUGUGAAAUCCUAUGGCUCAACCAUAGAACUGCAUUGGAAACUGGUAACCUAGAGUAUGGAAGGGGAAAAUGGAAUUAGUGGUGUAGGGGUAAAAUCCGUAGAUAUCACUAGGAAUACCGAAAGCGAAGGCGAUUUUCUGGGACAUUACUGACGCUGAGGCGUGAAAGCGUGGGGAGCAAACAGGAUUAGAUACCCUGGUAGUCCACGCCCUAAACGAUGAAUGCUAGUCGUCGGAGAGCUCGUCUCUUCGGUGAUGCAGUUAACACAUUAAGCAUUCCGCCUGGGGAGUACGGUCGCAAGAUUAAAACUCAAAGGAAUAGACGGGGACCCGCACAAGUGGUGGAGCAUGUGGUUUAAUUCGAAGAUACGCGAAGAACCUUACCUGGCCUUGACAUUGAUUGAAUUUGGUAGAGAUACCGAAGUGCCUUUCGGGGAACAUGAAAACAGGUGCUGCACGGCUGUCGUCAGCUCAUGUCGUGAGAUGUUGGGUUAAGUCCCGCAACGAGCGCAACCCUCGUCGUUAGUUGCUAACAGGUUAAGCGGAGCACUCUAGCGAGACU
rnacentral:rRNA from 1 species